rnacentral:rRNA from 1 species
UACGUAGGUGGCAAGCGUUAUCCGGAAUUACUGGGCGUAAAGCGCCACGCAGGCGGUCUUGUAAGUUUGACGUGAAAGCUCCCGGCUUAACUGGGAGAGGUCGUGAAGACUGCAAGACUUGAGGAAAUGAGAGGGGUGUAGAAUUCCCGGUGUAGUGGUGGAAUGCGUAGAUAUCGGGGGGGAAUACCAGUGGCGAAAGCGGCACCCUAGCAUUUUUCUGACGCUCAUGGUGCGAAAGCGUGGGGAGCGAACGGG